UACGUAGGGGGCUAGCGUUGUCCGGAAUCAUUGGGCGUAAAGCGCGUGUAGGCGGCCCGGUAAGUCCGCUGUGAAAGUCGAGGGCUCAACCCUCGAAUGCCGGUGGAUACUGUCGGGCUAGAGUACGGAAGAGGCGAGUGGAAUUCCUGGUGUAGCGGUGAAAUGCGCAGAUAUCAGGAGGAACACCCAUUGCGAAGGCAGCUCGCUGGGACGUUACUGACGCUGAGACGCGAAAGCGUGGGGGAGCAAACAGG
rnacentral:rRNA from 1 species